rnacentral:rRNA from 1 species
AUUGAACGCUGGCGGCAUGCCUUACACAUGCAAGUCGAACGGUAACGCGGGGCAACCUGGCGACGAGUGGCGAACGGGUGAGUAAUGUAUCGGAACGUGCCCAGUUGUGGGGGAUAACUGCUCGAAAGAGCAGCUAAUACCGCAUACGACCUGAGGGUGAAAGCGGGGGAUCGCAAGACCUCGCGCAAUUGGAGCGGCCGAUGUCAGAUUAGGGAGUUGGUGGGGGAAAGGCCCACCAAGCCAACGAUCUGUAGCUGGUCUGAGAGGACGACCAGCCACACUGGGACUGAGACACGGCCCAGACUCCUACGGGAGGCAGCAGUGGGGAAUUUUGGACAAUGGACGCAAGUCUGAUCCAGCCAUGCCGCGUGCGGGAAGAAGGCCUUCGGGUUGUAAACCGCUUUUGUCAGGGAAGAAAAGGGCGACUCUAAUACAGUUGCCUCAUGACGGUACCUGAAGAAUAAGCACCGGCUAACUACGUGCCAGCCGCCGCAGUAAAAC